rnacentral:rRNA from 1 species
GCAUAUCAAUAAGCGGAGGAAAAGAAACCAACAGGGAUUGCCUCAGUAACGGCGAAGUGAAGCGGCAACAGCUCAAAUUUGAAAUCUGGCCUCUUUGGGGUCCGAGUUGUAAUUUGUAGAGGAUGUUUCGGGUACCGCCUCGGUUUAAAUUUCUUGGAACAGAAUGUCAAAGAGGGUGAGAAUCCCGUCUUGGACCGGCGGUAGGGCCCAUGUGAAACUCCUUCGACGAGUCGAGUUGUUUGGGAAUGCAGCUCAAAAUGGGUGGUAAAUUUCAUCUAAAGCUAAAUAUUGGCCAGAGACCGAUAGCGCACAAGUAGAGUGAUCGAAAGAUGAAAAGCACUUUGAAAAGAGAGUUAAACAGUAUGUGAAAUUGUUGAAAGGGAAGCGCUUACAACCAGACUUGAGCGCGGCGGUUCCCCCUUCCUUUUGGUUGGGUUACUCCGUCGUGUCCAGGCCAACAUCGGUUUCGGGGGUCGGUUAAAGACCUUGGGAAUGUAUCUACCCUUCGGGCGUAGACUUAUAGCCCAGGGUGUCAUGCGGCCUCCCGGGACCGAGGAACGCGCUUCGGCUCGGAUGUUGGCGUAAUGGUUGUCAGCGACCCGUCUUGAAACACGGACCAAGGAGUCUAACAUCUAUGCGAGUGUUUGGGUGUCAAACCCGGAACGCGAAAUGAAAGUGAACGGAGGUAGGAAGCCUUGAGGCUGCACUAUCGACCGAUCCUGAUGUCUUCGGAUGGAUUUGAGUAAGAGCAUAGCUGUUGGGACCCGAAAGAUGGUGAACUAUGCCUGAAUAGGGUGAAGCCAGAGGAAACUCUGGUGGAGGCUCGCAGCGGUUCUGACGUGCAAAUCGAUCGUCAAAUUUGGGUAUAGGGGCGAAAGACUAAUCGAACCAUCUGGUAGCUGGUUCUGC